rnacentral:rRNA from 1 species
AUUGAACGCUGGCGGCAUGCCUUACACAUGCAAGUCGAACGGCAGCACGGGGCAACCUGGUGGCGAGUGGCGAACGGGUGAGUAAUGCAUCGGAACGUGCCAUUGAGUGGGGGAUAACGUAGCGAAAGUUGCGCUAAUACCGCAUAUUCUGUGAGCAGGAAAGCAGGGGACCGCAAGGCCUUGCGCUCUUUGAGCGGCCGAUGUCAGAUUAGCUAGUUGGUGAGGUAACGGCUUACCAAGGCGACGAUCUGUAGCGGGUCUGAGAGGAUGAUCCGCCACACUGGAACUGAGACACGGUCCAGACUCCUACGGGAGGCAGCAGUGGGGAAUUUUGGACAAUGGGCGCAAGCCUGAUCCAGCCAUGCCGCGUGAAGGAUUAAGGGCCCUAUGGGUUGUAAACUUCUUUGUUUGGGAAGAAAUCAGGACAUUUAUGUGCUGUUGACGGUACCUUACGAAUAAGCACCGGCUAACUCCGUGCCAGCAGCCGCGGU